ACGAGGGGUGCAAGUGUUGUUCGGAAUUACUGGGCGUAAAGGGAGCGUAGGCGGAAAUUUAAGUUGGAUGUUUAAUCUCAGGGCCCAACCCUGAGCUUGCGUCCAAAACUGGAUUUCUUGAAUAGGUCAGAGGUGAAUGGAAUUCCUGGUGUAGCGGUGGAAUGCGUAGAUAUCAGGAGGAACACCAGUUGCGAAGGCGAUUCACUGGGACCAUAUUGACGCUGAGGCUCGAAAGUGUGGGGAGCGAACAGG
rnacentral:rRNA from 1 species